GACGGGGGGUGCGAGCGUUAAUCGGAAUUACUGGGCGUAAAGCGCAUGUAGGCGGCCGAACAAGUCAGGUGUGAAAUCCUCGGGCUUAACCUGGGAAGUGCACUUGAUACUGUCCGGCUAGAGUUUGGCAGAGGAAAGUAGAAUUCCCGGUGUAGCAGUGAAAUGCGUAGAUAUCGGGAGGAAUACCAGUGGCGAAGGCGGCUUUCUGGGCCAAUACUGACGAUGAGGUGCGAAAGCGUGGGGAGCAAACAGG
rnacentral:rRNA from 1 species